UACGAAGGGGGCUAGCGUUGCUCGGAAUGACUGGGCGUAAAGGGCGCGUAGGCGGAUGGCACAGUCAGAUGUGAAAUUCCUGGGCUUAACCUGGGGGCUGCAUUUGAUACGUGUGAUCUGGAGUGAGGAAGAGGGUUGUGGAAUUCCCAGUGUAGAGGUGAAAUUCGUAGAUAUUGGGAAGAACACCGGUGGCGAAGGCGGCGACCUGGUCCUUGACUGACGCUGAGGCGCGAAAGCGUGGGGAGCAAACAGG
rnacentral:rRNA from 1 species